rnacentral:rRNA from 14 species
GGCAUCAGGAGUGAUGAAGGACGUGGAAAUCUGUGAUAAGCCUCGGGGAGCCGAUAAACGGGCUGUGAUCCGAGGAUGUCCGAAUGGGGAAACCCAGCACCGGUUGUGUGGUGUUACCCGCAGAUGAAUGCAUAGUCUGUGUGGGGGUUGACGCGGGGAAGUGAAACAUCUCAGUACCCACAGGAAGAGAAAACAAAAGUGAUUCCGAGAGUAGUGGCGAGCGAAAUCGGAACAGGCCAAACCUCAUCUGUGUGAUAGCCGGCAGGCGUUGCAGGUGGGGGGUUGUGGGACCACUCAGGUCGAGCUGCCGCUCGACCAGGAAGUCACAAAAUCUGAGCGAAGUUGAAACUGGUUGGAAAACCACGCCGUAGAGGGUGAUAGCCCCGUAAGCGUAACCUCAGAUCUUCCGAGUGGCAUCCCAAGUAACACGGAACCCCUGAAAUUCCGUGUGAAUCUGGCGGGACCACCCGUUAAGCCUAAAUACUCCUCGAUGACCGAUAGCGGACAAGUACCGUGAGGGAAAGGUGAAAAGUACCCCUGGCGGGGAGUGAAAUAGUACCUGAAACCGUGUGCCUACAAUCCGUUGGAGCUUCAUGUUUACAUGGGGUGACAGCGUGCCUUUUGAAGAAUGAGCCUGCGAGUUAGCGGUGCGUGGCGAGGUUAACCCGUGUGGGGUAGCCGUAGCGAAAGCGAGUCCGAACAGGGCGAUUGAGUAGCACGAUCAAGACCCGAAGCGGAGUGAUCUAUCCAUGGGCAGGUUGAAGCGCGGGUAAGACCGCGUGGAGGACCGAACCCACUUAGGUUGAAAACUGAGGGGAUGACCUGUGGAUAGGGGUGAAAGGCCAAUCAAACUCCGUGAUAGCUGGUUCUCCCCGAAAUGCAUUUAGGUGCAGCGUUGCGUGUUUCUUGCCGGAGGUAGAGCACUGGAUAGCUAAUGGGCCCCACAAGGUUACUGACGUUAGCCAAACUCCGAAUGCCGGUAAGUGAGAGCGCAGCAGUGAGACUGCGGGGGAUAAGCUCCGUAGUCGAGAGGGAAACAGCCCAGAUCGCCGGCUAAGGCCCCCAAGCGUGUACUAAGUGG